GACGAACGCUGGCGGCGUGCCUAACACAUGCAAGUCGAGCGAGGGGAGUUCUUCGGAACGAACCUAGCGGCGGACGGGUGAGUAACACGUGGAUAAUCUGCCCUUUAGUUGGGAAUAACGUACCGAAAGGUGCGCUAAUACCGAAUAAUGCUGAGUGACAUCAGUUAUUUAGCCAAAGAAGGCCUCUGCUUGCAAGCUUUCGCUGAAGGAUGAGUCCGCGUACCAUUAGCUAGUUGGUAGGGUAAUGGCCUACCAAGGCGACGAUGGUUAGCUGGUCUGAGAGGAUGAUCAGCCACACUGGAACUGAGACACGGUCCAGACUCCUACGGGAGGCAGCAGUGAGGAAUAUUGCGCAAUGGGGGCAACCCUGACGCAGCAACGCCGCGUGGAUGAUGAAGGCCGAAAGGUUGUAAAGUCCUUUUUGUUGGGGUAAGAAUAACCAUGGGAGGUAAUGCCCGUGGGAUGACAUGAACCGACGAUAAGCCCCGGCUAACUACGUG
rnacentral:rRNA from 1 species